rnacentral:rRNA from 1 species
AUGCCGUAAACGUUGGGCACUAGGUGUGGGGGACAUUCCACGUUUUCCGCGCCGUAGCUAACGCAUUAAGUGCCCCGCCUGGGGAGUACGGCCGCAAGGCUAAAACUCAAAGGAAUUGACGGGGGCCCGCACAAGCGGCGGAGCAUGCGGAUUAAUUCGAUGCAACGCGAAGAACCUUACCAAGGCUUGACAUACACCGGAUCGUUCCAGAGAUGGUUCUUCCCUUUUGGGCUGGUGUACAGGUGGUGCAUGGUUGUCGUCAGCUCGUGUCGUGAGAUGUUGGGUUAAGUCCCGCAACGAGCGCAACCCUCGUUCUAUGUUGCCAGCACGUGAUGGUGGGGACUCAUAGGAGACUGCCGGGGUCAACUCGGAGGAAGGUGGGGAUGACGUCAAAUCAUCAUGCCCCUUAUGUCUUGGGCUUCACGCAUGCUACAAUGGCCGGUACAAUGGGUUGCGAUACUGUGAGGUGGAGCUAAUCCCAAAAAGCCGGUCUCAGUUCGGAUUGGGGUCUGCAACUCGACCCCAUGAAGUCGGAGUCGCUAGUAAUCGCAGAUCAGCAACGCUGCGGUGAAUACGUUCCCGGGCCUUGUACACACCGCCCGUCAAGUCACGAAAGUUGGUAACACCCGAAGCCGAUGGCCUAACCCUUGUGGAGGGAGUCGUCGAAGGUGGGACUGGCGAUUGGGACUA